GAACGAAUGCUGGAUCGGUCCGGCAUUCCGGUCGUGCAUCUGCGCCCGACCUUCUUCGCCCAGUGGCUUUUGUAUUUCGGCCGCGGCAGCAGGAUAGCUUCGACGGGCCAGAUCGUGCUGCCGUUCGGGGAGGGGCGUCACGCGCCGAUCGCGGGAGAAGAUCAGGGGCGGUUGAUCGCUGCAAUUUUGAGGGACCCGGCACCUCAUGCCGGAAAGACCUAUCCUCUCUAUGGUUCCACCGAAAUGAACCACCAUGAG
rnacentral:misc_RNA from 1 species